AGCUAGGAAGUUCAUUGGUCUCGGGCCGUGUCAAUCAUCACUGCUCUACAAUGGUGAGGAGAGGAGACCCAGGAAGGAGAGCAGGCUCCUGGGAGGCAUUGCAGGAAAGAGACAGGCUUCCAGGUGCCGGUGGGAAGGACAGAAAGGAUGGAGGCAGACUCUGCAGAGAGGGUGUCACACCCCACCUGUCCCCCAGGACUCCCAGCUGCCGAAGAGCAGCUGGACACGAUAUUCCUAGCCUGCUCAGGGUGUGACAUUAGUGCAGAAGCCUUUCCCCAAGUACAGGGGCAAACCAGAGAGCCAGCAAAACCAGCCUAGAGCUGGCACUUCAUGCACUUGGUGUCCAGGUCGGUGACUUUGACGUUAUUCUUCCCUUCUCCGACCAGCUGCAAUCAAUCCUUCAAGACCUACUGGACUUUUCUGCUGUGUCUUUGGAAUCCAUCCACUUUUCCUAGCCCCUUGAGCCCCCUCAGCCCACCUCCAGCCUCUCCAACCUGGGUGCUGCCCUCCCCUCCUGCCAGGUCUUCCUCUUUGUUUCCUCUGGACCCCCUGCAACUCAUCUGUCUCUCCCCUCUUCCCUCCAGGGGCUCCUCUUGCUGGCCUCAGGAUCCUCCAAGAUGCAGCACUGCCGAGCACUGUAGGUGCUUCAUAAAAAUUUGUGGAAUGAAUGAAAUGAAGGCGGGGAGGAGAUAGAGGAGAAGGGAGCAGAGAUCCUUGCCCAAAGGACAUAAAUAAACUCAGGGGAAGAAUGAAGCCUGGCUGUGAAUCCAGAGGGAGCAUCGGCACAGGCAGAGUAUUUUGUCCCCCUCGUUUUAAGUCAGGUGAUUAAAAUCCUGCUGCAAUAGGCUAGGCUUGGCCCUUGAAAGAGUCUGAGACCCAAACAUAGAAAAGGGUUUCUCUGAGGUCACCGAGUCCCUCUCCUUCUCUAUGCACCCUCUCUGCAGAGCCUAGAUAGGCAGUUAUGUCUCCUGUUCAGGAACCUUCCAGUGAUAGGGCAGUCCCUAUCCAUCAGGACCACCCUGCCGAGUGACCUCUGCCUCCUAGGAGUUGCAUGAUCACAAAGAGGAGAAUUAGGAACACGGGCCAAGUCCAGACAGGCUCAGGCUGCCCGGCACCUUCAGGUCUCCAGUUCCCCAGGGGUUUCCUCCCCAAGGAACCACUGGAAUUCCUCUGUCAGGAAGCGGAACCUCCCUCCAUCCACCCCCACCCCCAUCCUGGCUGCUGAUCUGGCCUCUCGCCAGGUGGUUAAUACUGCUCCUUGUGUUUGGAGCAAAGAACUAAACACAGAUCUCCCAGGAGCUUAGAGGGAAGCUGGCCAAACGUGGGGGAAGCUGAUGAGGAGUAUGAAAAUGCCGGUCUCCAUGCCAGGGAUGGACUCCAUUAGCUGGAGAAGUGGGCAUUCUCUAGAGCUGCCCCUGGAGCUGGGGGAAACACAGCUUAGGUAGGGAUGGGGCUCAUCCUGUGUCCAAUGCUCCAGCUUCUUGAUUUUUCUACCCCACCUACAAGCUCCAUCUGGAAAGAAUUGAGAAGAGCCUGGGCUGUCCCCUGUUCCCAUCCCAUCUUCCGCCUGCGCCCCUGCAGGGAGCCCCUCUGCCCCACCCCACUCUCCCUCCCAAUAAAGCAGACUCUCAGGAGAGACAUCGGACCUCACUCCGACUGGGCCAAUGACCUUGAAGCUGUCUCAAACCUGCUCCUCUGCAUUUUGCCCCAGGAUAUCCUGCAACUUGGAGAAAUCAUCUCAGAGGGGACCUUAUAACGGAGACCUUGUGGUUCCCAACUUCCACAUCCUUAGAAAUCAUAAACCCUCUGCAAUCAUCUCCAGAGACGGGGACGUGAUCAGCAGCCACUGUCUUCUUUCAUUCAGGUGGCACUCAGUCCAAUGUUCUGUUGGUCUGUAGCCACCACGAAGCUCAGUAUCUUAAAGCAAACAUUAUCAUCACCUCUUAUGUUGCUGUGGGUUGACUGGACUUCAUGGACAGCUUAUGCUCCACGUUUCCACAUGGGACUGUAGUCAGAGGUCCACUGGGAUGACAGAGGGGCUGGUCAUUCAAAGGUUUGACUGGUCUGGACCUCACAGAUGGUUCACUCAUGUUUCUGGGCUGUCCACCAGAACAACUACACAUAGCCUCUCCAUGGGGCUUGCCCAUCUCCUAACAUGGUGGCUGGUUUCCCAAGACAGAACCCAAGGGUCCCAGGCUGAAGCUGCAGGGCUUCUUAGGGACCAACCUUGGGAGUCUCUGAGCAUCAGUUCCACCCAUUCCAUUAGUCAAACAGACCCAAGCCCAGCCCAGAUUCAAGGUGAUGGAGAUAGGAGCUCACCUCUUUUUGUUGUUGUUGUUCUAAUUAAUUAAUCAUGAUAGCACAAUGCAGUUCAAUUCCUUGUACACAAAUAGGGUACAGCUUUUUGAUUAGAAAGAUGGAGGAACUCAUCUCUUAACUCGGGAGAGGCCGAGUCACCCUGCAGAAGAGCGUGUGGCAAGAAACCGCCCGGUAGUCAUCUCUGGAAGCUUCAUCUUCCAUAUGCAGCACCUGGUCUUCCCAGGUAAAAGAACUGUGCUAAUCUCAGGGGUGGGGGACAAGCACUGUCCCAGGAGUCAAACCAGCCCCGGACUUUCCUGUUCCACCCUGGAACCACCCGGCUGUCACCUACACUGACAAAGUUGCUGCUAAGUCCCCAAGGCUGCUAGGAGCUCCCCACAUGCUUUAAGGAGCAUUCUAAGGACAGCAGGAGAUCACCCGCUGCUUUGUUCUGCUCUAACAAGCCUCCGCCAAGCACUGGCUCACUCAUCCAUCCACCAACCAUUCGCCCAGGGCCCGCUUGGGCCAUCCCAGAGAGAAACCCACACAGCAGGAGAUGCAGUGGUCCAUGGAAGACGCGGACAGUCACAGAACACUGCACAGAUUAGCAGAGCUCCUUCAGCCGCUACAGAAACUCAAGUGAACCAGCGUUCUCACAAAGAGGGAUCCAGCCGCAGGAACAGAGGGAUCCAGCUAAUGAUCUAGGGAGAACCCACUGAUGUCAUCAUUUCUGCUUCUUCUCUGAUCUCACGUUUGUCACCUCUCCGACGUCAUGAGCGGGUCCUCUUGCAAGCCCAGUGGAUGCUCUUUGAAGUCUCAUCCAGGACUUCUCUGUGGUGCAGCUCCCCCGCUCACACACCUUCACGUGGGAUUUACCAGACUAUCAGAGGGAGGCCAAUGGGCCAGCCAGACAGCAUCUGUGACUUGUGAGGUCCAGGAUGAUCCGAGGACAGCCAUGGGCCCAACAAAGUGCAAUGACCUCCAUCUAAGUCGAGGGGAAAAGCCCAACUCAGAGAACAUCUGCCAACCCUCUCUACACCAGGCCCUGGGCUGGUUCCUGAAGGGAAAAGAACCUUCCCCAAGCAGGUCCCUGUCCUCAGGUGGGGCUCAAUCUAGUGGGAAUGUAUACUUAAUUCCAGUCCCUGACUUCUGGCGCCCAAGUUCUCAUCAAGAAAAAGCACAGUCAAUAAGAAGAUUAGCUAACGUUUAUUGAGGGCUUACUCAAUAUGCCAGGGUUUCCUGAGCAUUGUGAAAGCAUUAAAUUAUUUACUUACCACAGUAACCCUGGGUGGCAUGCUGGGGCCGGCUCCUAGCCGCUCACGAGAGCCAGUUGUUAAAUUUUCAGGAAUUUUACAAGCAGGGUGUUAAAUACAGCUAUUAUUUUUAAAAAAUUAAAUUACAUAA